AUGGAUGGAAUCUUCGGAGGAAAGAAAUGAUGGAAAGCGGCGGACGGGUGAGUAACGCGUAGGUAACCUGCCCCAUACAGAGGGAUAGCCACUGGAAACGGUGAUUAAUACCUCAUGACACUUUCUCUUCGCAUGGAGGGAAGGUCAAAGAUUUAUCGGUAUGGGAUGGACCUGCGUCUGAUUAGCUUGUUGGUGGGGUAACGGCCCACCAAGGCGACGAUCGGUAGCCGGACUGAGAGGUUGAACGGCCACAUUGGGACUGAGACACGGCCCAGACUCC
rnacentral:rRNA from 1 species